rnacentral:rRNA from 1 species
CGCUGGUUAGCUACGUUCGGAAUGGAUAACCGCUGAAAGCAUCUAAGCGGGAAGCCGGCCUCGAGAUGAGAUUUCCAUCCCUUCGGGGGAGAGGCUCCCAGCCAGACGACUGGGUUGAUAGGCCGGAUGUGGAAGACAGGACUAACGACUGUCGGAGCUGACCGGUACUAAUAAGCCGAUAACUUGAUAA